AUCAGGUAAGAAUACCCGCUGAACUUAAGCAUAUCAAUAAGCGGAGGAAAAGAAAAUAACAAUGAUUCCCUCAGUAACGGCGAGCGAAGAGGGAUAAGCUCAAAUUUUAAAUCUGUUGGGUUUCACCUAACAGAGUUGUAUUUUGAAGAAACGUUUUCUGCGUCCAGGAUUAGCCUAAAUCCUUUGGGAUAAGGUAUCAUGGAGGGUGAGAAUCCCGUUCAUGGUUAAUCUUAAGGAUGCUCUACGAUACGUUCUCCAAGAGUCGAGUUGUUUGGGAUUGCAGCUCAAAAUGGGGGGUAAAUUUCUCCUAAGGCUAAAUAUUGGCGAGAGACCGAUAGCGAACAAGUACCGUGAGGGAAAGAUGAAAAGAACUUUGAAAAGAGAGUUAAACAGUACGUGAAAUUGUUGAAAGGGAAACGAUUGAAGUCAGUCAUACCAACGGGAAAUCAACCUCUUGAGUUUGGUCUCGUGGGUUUCUAAGAGUUUAAAAGCCUUCGGAUUUGCGAGGAUGGGCUCUUCUGGUGUACUUUUUCGUACGGUUAGUCAACAUCGGUUUUGAAUGUCAUAAAAUGACUGGAGGAAUGUGGCUUCGAUCUCGUAUUGAAGUGUUACAGCCUUUGGUAGAUGUGAUGUUCGAGACCGAGGAUUGCAACGGAUACCCUUCUGGGCUAUUCGUCUGAUCUCUGAAACGUUGCCUUGAUGUUGAAAGCUUGCUUAUGAUGUUAGGGUAUUACGGUCAAAAGGUUAGAACGGAUUAAAUUCGUUAAGGAUGUUGACGUAAUGACUUUAAACGACCCGUCUUGAAACACGGACCAAGGAGUCUAACAUAUAUGCGAGUGUU
rnacentral:rRNA from 1 species